GACGUAGGGCGCGAGCGUUGUCCGGAUUUAUUGGGCGUAAAGAGCUCGUAGGCGGCUUGUCGCGUCGACUGUGAAAUCCCGAGGCUCAACUUCGGGCUUGCAGUCGAUACGGGCAGGCUAGAGUUCGGUAGGGGAGACUGGAAUUCCUGGUGUAGCGGUGAAAUGCGCAGAUAUCAGGAGGAACACCGAUGGCGAAGGCAGGUCUCUGGGCCGAUACUGACACUGAGAGACGAAAGCUAGGGGAGCGAAUGGG
rnacentral:rRNA from 1 species